rnacentral:rRNA from 1 species
AACUCUGAGCAGUGGAUCACUCGGCUCACGGGUCGAUGAAGAACGCAGCCAGCUGCGAGAUUUGGUGUGAAUUGCAGGACACAUUGAGCACUGAUUUUUCGAACGCACAUUGCGGCCUCGGGUCUCUCCCGGGUCGCCUGUCUGAGGGUC